CAGCCGUAAACUAUGCGCGUUAGGUGUACUGGUGACCACGAGUCACCGGGGUGCCGAAGGGAAACCGUGAAACGUGCCGCCUGGGAAGUACGGUCGCAAGGCUGAAACUUAAAGGAAUUGGCGGGGGAGCACCACAACAGGUGGAGCCUGCGGUUUAAUUGGAUUCAACGCCGGACAUCUCACCGGAUAAGACAGCUGAAUGAUUGUCAAUCUGAAGGUUUUACAUGACUAGCUGAGAGGUGGUGCAUGGCGUCAGUGACU
rnacentral:rRNA from 1 species